rnacentral:misc_RNA from 1 species
CCUUGCAAAGCUUAAGCUCAGCAGGUCGAUAAAGCCAAUUAACACCUAACUGUAGGUUAUUGUCUUCACUCAACUUUAGCCUUCGGAUUAUUCCAAUGAAGGGAGGGGAAUCGUGAGAUGGUUUGAACAAAGCACAAUCACCCACACUAACUUUGCGACCAUCCAAGGCAAUACCUUGCAGAACGAAUCAGCUGUAAUAGUAGAAACAACAGAAGAAUCACCGACGGCUACAGUCGUCGUGGUCGUAACCGGCAUGUGCUGACCACCAAUCAAGCGUCGACAAAGGGGAAGUGAACUUUGUCGACGCUUGAUUGGUGGUCAGCACAUGCCGGUUACGACCACGACGACUGUAGCCGUCGGUGAUUCUUCUGUUGUUUCUACUAUUACAGCUGAUUCGUUCUGCAAGGUAUUGCCUUGGAUGGUCGCAAAGUUAGUGUGGGUGAUUGUGCUUUGUUCAAACCAUCUCACGAUUCCCCUCCCUUCAUUGGAAUAAUCCGAAGGCUAAAGUUGAGUGAAGACAAUAACCUACAGUUAGGUGUUAAUUGGCUUUAUCGACCUGCUGAGCUUAAGCUUUGCAAGG